GGCGCGUUGGCAGAGUGGUUAUGCAGCGGAUUGCAAAUCCGUAUAGCUCGGUUCAACUCCGAGACGCGUCU
rnacentral:tRNA from 1 species